AUGAAUUAUUGAAAGUUUCAUAACAGCCAUGUCAGAAACCGAUAGCAUGUUAGAAAUUGUAGGUUUGGGAUUUCAAUGCCCUGACAUAACUCUACGACAAUACAAAGGACAGGGGGCUGCGUAAAAGAAU